rnacentral:rRNA from 3 species
GGACUACCCGGGUAUCUAAUCCCGUUCGCUCCCCUGGCUUUCGCGCCUCAGCGUCAGAAGAGAUCCAGUACGUCGCUUUCGCCACCGGCGUUCCUUCCGAUAUCAACGCAUUUCACCGCUCCACCGGAAGUUCCACAUACCCCUAUCUCCCUCUAGACUGCCAGUAUCCAAAGCCCUUUUCCGGUUAAGCCGAAAGAUUUCACCCCGGACUUGGCAGCCCGCCUACGCGCCCUUUAAGCCCAGUGAUUCCGAACAACGUUUGCACGGUUCGUCUUACCGCGGCGGCUGGCAC